rnacentral:tRNA from 1 species
GUGGGGGUGCCGGAGCGGCCAAACGGGCAGGACUUAAGAUCCUGUGGCUUUUGCCUGCGAGGGUUCGAAUCCCUUCCCCCACA